ACGAACGCUGGCGGCGUGCUUAACACCUGCAAGUCGAACGGAAAGGCCCUGCUUUUGUGGGGUGCUCGCGUGGCGAACGGGUGAGUAACACGUGAGUAACCUGCCCUUGACUUUGGGAUAACUUCAGGAAACUGGGGCUAAUACCGGAUAGGAGCUCCUGCUGCAUGGUGGGGGUUGGAAAGUUUCGGCGGUUGGGGAUGGACUCGCGGCUUAUCAGCUUGUUGGUGGGGUAGUGGCUUACCAAGGCUUUGACGGGUAGCCGGCCUGAGAGGGUGACCGGCCACAUUGGGACUGAGACACGGCCCAGACUCCUACGGGAGGCAGCAGUGGGGAAUAUUGCACAAUGGGCGGAAGCCUGAUGCAGCAACGCCGCGUGCGGGAUGACGGCCUUCGGGUUGUAAACCGCUUUCGCCUGUGACGAAGCGUGAGUGACGGUAAUGGGUAAAGAAGCACCGGCUAACUACGUG
rnacentral:rRNA from 1 species